AAUAAUACUAUAAUUUUCUUGCAUGAUUAAUUUAAGGUUUAUAAUUCCAGUUAUUGACGUCUCCGUGAAUAAAAUAGUAAAGUCAUCAUCAUACUUUAAUUUAAUAAAUAAAUAAAUGUAUAUACGGCUUUAUAUAAAUGGUUUAAUAAAACAAAUUAAAUAAUGUUUUAAAGUAAUCGAAAUACAUUAAUACAACUAAAUUCAAUAUUGGACUGCAUGGGAAAUUUCGGUACCAAAAAAGACAAAUUCUCAACCACUGUGUGCUAGUAUGCCUUGAAGAAAAUCCUUGUUGAAUAUUUAUUUGUAUUCCACCGCCUUCAGUUUUACACUGAAAAAUAAUCAGCCAAACAUAAAAGAUGCCUAGAUAGAAUCCAUGGUUUGUCUUACCAAGUUUUAUUUCUCAUGUGUAAACUUAAUUUACUGAGAGACUAUGCUUCAAAGCUGUAUGUUAGUAUGCCUUAAGAAAAAUGUAAGUUUAGCUAAAAAAGUCAAAUAUAAAUAUAUGUAUAUUAAUUUAAUUUUCUU